AAGGGGAAAGGAUAAGAGUGGCUUCUAGAUUGCCUCACUCUCCAUCUAUGGCGUCACUUGACAUGCCAUCCUUCAGUCUUUCUAAUUGUCCUUCAAAGGGAUUGGAUUUAAAAAGAUUCCUAAGAAAUCUCUUUAGAAGAUUCAAACUAUACGCACUAAAAGAUCUCUUAUGAAGUGGGAAGUUUAAACUCCUCCCAAACUCAUUGGAAAGGAUUUCUAAAGGUAGAAUUACUUCUUCCCUUAGAGGAUUUUGGAGUACUGCUAGUUUGGGAUGGAUAGCCGAAUCAUGGGAUUGAAAUGUUUGCAAAGUGGUUGUGAAAACUUCCUCUUCUAGAUUGGGGGAUGAUUCCUUCUCUACCUCUAGGAUUUUAUCAUGAAGGCUAGUGUAAGGAGUGUGUCCACUAAUAAUAAAGACCAACCUCACCUCACUAAUGGAUAAAGAAAGGAAAACUCCUCCAAAGAUGGUAUUAUCAAGACCAAAUAUAAAGAUGUUGAAGAAGAACAGGGUCUUGUAGGUCUAUGCCUAAAUUUAUAGGAAGAUUAAAAGAUUCCCUAAGUGUAGCUAAAAGUUGAUUACCUACCUGAUCAGAAGAUAGGACCCUAGCUAUAGAAAAGAGUUGGCUUUGACCUAUUGCAACCAAACAUGGGCGUAGCUCAUAGCUAGAUGUGAAAGUCAUGGGCUCUAGUGGCUCUAAGCUUACACUGAUGGGUGCAGGGAAUUGAUAGAUAGAAGUGGAAUUUGGGUUAUCCAUAAGGAUUGAAAAGAAAAGGAAAAAGAAAAGAUGAGAUAAAAGAAAAAGAUAAAAGUAUAAUACAAGGUUAAGCAUGAUUUAAAGUUAUCUCAGAAGACCGUCUUUCUCCCCGGCAACGGCGCUAGAAAUGCUUGUUGAUAUUAGAUACACACAUAGAGAAUUAAUCUGCAGGCGCACGGAUAUGGUGAGCACUUCACCCAGGAGAUAUUCCAGAGUAUCAUUUUUUAUAUUUUUACCACUAGGACAAAGCAUGCAUCUGACUAACCCAAAUCUAUACUUAACCUUUGGGUUUGCAAGACAAGAUAGUAAGAUAUGAGCGAUAUAAAGAGAACUCCUUCAUUAGUGUUCCUCUAAACUAUGGUAAGUUGUGUAGAUAUUGUUCUAAGGGGAGUACCUAGAGAAAAGAGACACCUCAGAGAGUGCUUAACCCUAGCACCAAAUAUCCUACCUUACCUCCUGACGAGACGUGGAUUACAGAGACACCAAGGGGAAUGUCACUUCCCUCGAUGCUACUGAAAGGAUCAAGAUGCCCAAGAGGGGGGUGAAUUGAGCUUCUCUAAAAAUUUAAGCAACCUAUAAGCUCCAAUUCAACCCCUUGUGCCUAGUGUGACCUAGAGAGCUACC
rnacentral:lncRNA from 1 species